rnacentral:rRNA from 1 species
GACUGCUAUCGGAUUGAUACUAAGCCAUGCGAGUCUUUGUAGCAAUACAAGGCAGACGGCUCAGUAACACGUAGUCAAUCUAACCUAUGGACGAGGAUAACCUCGGGAAACUGAGAAUAAUACUCGAUAGACCAUAAUGCCUGGAAUGGUUUAUGGUUCAAAUGAAUUUCGCCAUAGGGUGGGACUGCGGUCUAUCAGCUUGUUGGUGAGGUAAUGGCCCACCAAGGCUAUAACAGAUACGGGCUCUGAGAGGAGAAGCCCGGAGAUGGGUACUGAGACACGGACCCAGGCCCUAUGGGGCGCAGCAGGCGAGAAAACUUUGCAAUGUGCGAAAGCACGACAAGGUUAAUCCGAGUGAUUUCUGCUAAAGGAAUCUUUUGUCAGUCAUAGAACCACUGUUGAAUAAGGGGUGGGCAAGUUCUGGUGUCAGCCGCCGCGGUAAAACCAGCACCUCAAGUGGUCAGGAUGAUUAUUGGGCCUAAAGCAUCCGUAGCCUGCUUUGUCAGUUUUCGGUUAAAUCCAUACGCUCAACGUAUGGGCUGCCGGAAAUACUGCAAAGCUAGGGAGUGGGAGAGGUAGACGGUACUCGGUAGGAAGGGGUAAAAUCCUUUGAUCUAUCGAUGACCACCUGUGGUGAAGGCGGUCUACCAGAACACGUCCGACGGUGAGGGAUGAAAGCUGGGGGAGCAAACCGGAUUAGAUACCCGGGUAGCCCCAGCUGUAAACUAUGCAAACUCAGUGAUGCAUUGGCUUGAUGCCAAUGCAGUGUUGCAGGGAAGCCGUUAAGUUUGCCGCCUGGGAAGUACGUACGCAAGUAUGAAACUUAAAGGAAUUGGCGGGGGAGCACCACAAGGGGUGAAGCCUGCGGUUCAAUUGGAGUCAACGCCAGAAAUCUUACCCGGAGAGACAGCAGAAUGAAGGUCAAGCUGAAGACUUUACCAGACAAGCUGAGAGGUGGUGCAUGGCCGUCGCCAGCUCGUGCCGUGAGAUGUCCUGUUAAGUCAGGUAACGAGCGAGAUCCCUGCCUCUAGUUGCCACCAUUACUCUCAGGAGUAGUGGGGCGAAUUAGCGGGACAGCCGUAGUUAAUACGGAGGAAGGAAGGGGCCACGGCAGGUCAGUAUGCCCCGAAACUCUGGGGCCACACGCGGGCUGCAAUGGUACGACAAUGUGUUCCGAAUCCGAAGGAGGAGGUAAUCCAAAACGUUACCCAGUUAUGACUGAGGGCUGC